rnacentral:rRNA from 1 species
ACACAUGCAAGUCGAGCGAGGACUUCGGUUCUAGCGGCGGACGGGUGAGUAACGCGUGGGAAUGUGCCCUUCUCUACGGAAUAGCCCUGGGAAACUGGGAGUAAUACCGUAUACGCCCUAUUGGGGAAAGAUUUAUCGGAGAAGGAUCAGCCCGCGUUGGAUUAGGUAGUUGGUGGGGUAAUGGCCUACCAAGCCGACGAUCCAUAGCUGGUUUGAGAGGAUGAUCAGCCACACUGGGACUGAGACACGGCCCAGACUCCUACGGGAGGCAGCAGUGGGGAAUCUUAGACAAUGGGGGCAACCCUGAUCUAGCCAUGCCGCGUGAGUGAUGAAGGCCUUAGGGUUGUAAAGCUCUUUCAGCUGGGAAGAUAAUGACGGUACCAGCAGAAGAAGCCCCGGCUAACUCCGUGCCAGCAGCCGCGGUAAUACGGAGGGGGCUAGCGUUGUUCGGAAUUACUGGGCGUAAAGCGCACGUAGGCGGACCGGAAAGUCAGAGGUGAAAUCCCAGGGCUCAACCUUGGAACUGCCUUUGAAACUAUCGGUCUGGAGUUCGAGAGAGGUGAGUGGAAUUCCGAGUGUAGAGGUGAAAUUCGUA